CCUACGGGUGGCAGCAGUGGGGAAUAUUGGUCAAUGGGCGCGAGCCUGAACCAGCCACGCAGCGUGAAGGAUGACUGCCCUCCGGGUUGUAAGCUUCUUUUAUAAAGGAGUAAAGUGAGGCACGUGUGCCUUUAUGUCUGUACUUUAUGAAUACGGAUCGGCUAACUCCAUGCCAGCAGCCGCGGUAAUACGGAGGAUCCGAGCGUUAUCCGGAUUUAGUGGGUGUAAAGGGAGCGUAGAUGGGUUGUUAAGUCAGUUGUGAAAGUUUGCGGCUCAACCGUAAAAUUGCAAUUGAUACUGGAUGUCUGGAGUACAGUUGAGGUAGGUGGAAUUCGUGGUGUAGCGGUGAAAUGCUUAGAUAUCACGAAGAACUCCGAUGGCGAAGGCAGCUUACUAAACUGCCACUGACAUUGAUGCUCGAAAGUGUGGGGAUCAAACAGGAUUAGAUACCCUUGUAGUC
rnacentral:rRNA from 1 species